rnacentral:rRNA from 1 species
UAGCUUGCUACCUGACCUAGCGGCGGACGGGUGAGUAGUGCUUAGGAAUCUGCCUAUUAGUGGGGGACAACAUUCCGAAAGGAAUGCUAAUACCGCAUACGCCCUACGGGGGAAAGCAGGGGAUCUUCGGACCUUGCGCUAAUAGAUGAGCCUAAGUCAGAUUAGCUAGUUGGUGGGGUAAAGGCCUACCAAGGCGACGAUCUGUAGCGGGUCUGAGAGGAUGAUCCGCCACACUGGGACUGAGACACGGCCCAGACUCCUACGGGAGGCAGCAGUGGGGAAUAUUGGACAAUGGGCGAAAGCCUGAUCCAGCCAUGCCGCGUGUGUGAAGAAGGCCUUUUGGUUGUAAAGCACUUUAAGCGAGGAGGAGGCUACUUGGAUUAAUACUCUAGGAUAGUGGACGUUACUCGCAGAAUAAGCACCGGCUAACUCUGUGCCAGCAGCCGCGGUAAUACAGAGGGUGCGAGCGUUAAUCGGAUUUACUGGGCGUAAAGCGUGCGUAGGCGGCUUUUUAAGUCGGAUGUGAAAUCCCUGAGCUUAACUUAGGAAUUGCAUUCGAUACUGGGAAGCUAGAGUAUGGGAGAGGAUGGUAGAAUUCCAGGUGUAGCGGUGAAAUGCGUAGAGGUCUGGAGGAAUACCGAUGGCGAAGGCAGCCAUCUGGCCUAAUACUGACGCUGAGGUACGAAAGCAUGGGGAGCAAACAGGAUUAGAUACCCUGGUAGUCCAUGCCGUAAACGAUGUCUACUAGCCGUUGGGGCCUUUGGGGCUUUAGUGGCGCAGCUAACGCGAUAAGUAGACCGCCUGGGGAGUACGGUCGCAAGACUAAAACUCAAAUGAAUUGACGGGGGCCCGCACAAGCGGUGGAGCAUGUGGUUUAAUUCGAUGCAACGCGAAGAACCUUACCUGGUCUUGACAUAGUAAGAACUUUCCAGAGAUGGAUUGGUGCCUUCGGGAACUUACAUACAGGUGCUGCAUGGCUGUCGUCAGCUCGUGUCGUGAGAUGUUGGGUUAAGUCCCGCAACGAGCGCAACCCUUUUCCUUAUUUGCCAGCGGGUUAAGCCGGGAACUUUAAGGAUACUGCCAGUGACAAACUGGAGGAAGGCGGGGACGACGUCAAGUCAUCAUGGCCCUUACGACCAGGGCUACACACGUGCUACAAUGGUCGGUACAAAGGGUUGCUACCUAGCGAUAGGAUGCUAAUCUCAAAAAGCCGAUCGUAGUCCGGAUUGGAGUCUGCAACUCGACUCCAUGAAGUCG